rnacentral:rRNA from 1 species
AGACCGGCGCACGGGUGCGUAACGCGUAUGCAAUCUGCCUUUCACAGAGGGAUAGCCCAGAGAAAUUUGGAUUAAUACCUCAUAGCAUCAUCCUCCGGCAUCGGAGGGUGAUUAAAGUCACAACGGUGAAAGAUGAGCAUGCGUCCCAUUAGCUAGUUGGCAAGGUAACGGCUUACCAAGGCGACGAUGGGUAGGGGUCCUGAGAGGGAGAUCCCCCACACUGGUACUGAGACACGGACCAG